CGAUAGUAUCGAUGCCUUGCAUCGCUAAUGUGGGUUGCAUUUUUAACCAAAACAAAAUUUUAAACGUUUAGAAAUUGAUUUAAUAAAAAUGUGAGUUAAACUUAAUCUAAAGCUUUUAUUUGCGAUUGCGUUUUUGUAGUUACCCCCUUACAAACUUACAAACAUUCAUCGAUUUGUGUUACAUUUAAUAUCUUAAUAUUGUCUAACGCAGCGGUAAAAUACUUACACAUAUCUAUACAUGUAUGUUUGUACAUACAUACAUACAUAUGGAAAUAUGUAAACUUAAUUGCAUAGUAUAUUUUGUGUCGGACGUAUACAGCGUUUGUCAAAAUAUAAUAUUUCAAAUUUCAAAGAUAUGAAUAUGAAUUGAGCUGUCAUUAUGUGAUUAAAGCAUUCCUUCGAUGUUAAUAUACUUAGGAUAUGAAUAAACAUGUAAAUAUCUUAUUGGGAGUCGAAUAUAACCUAUUUAAAAAAAUUCAAAUUAACCCAUGCCACAUGCAAUUUUUGACAAUACUCUCACCUUUUAAUUUGAAGUGAUUGUGUUAGAUAUUCAUUUUAAUGUUUUUAUUUUAAUUUUAAGACAUAUUUUGAUGCUGCUAACGAAUUUAAAACAUUUUAUAAAUCGAUUGCAUUAAUAUAGUCAUCCGUCAAUUAUAUGCAGAAAAAACUGCAUUAGUUCCCUCGAAAAAGUUCACUGAAAGUGUUAAUCAUAUCUGAACCAAUCGUUAAUUCAUUAAAUAAAGACAAGGAGGAACGGUGUGAGUUGCGUUCAAAAGAGACUCUACUUUUAUACCUGGUACUCAGUCAGUAUAUACAUACACAUGCACAUAUGUACUCGCAUACAUAACUAUGUGUUUUUGCAUGUAACCUUAUAAUUGUUUCGAAGUUUACAUUUUUUUUUCAUCUGAAAUCUACAUCACUUAUCACACCAACACGCUCUUUUAGCUCUCCUUUUCCGCCAGAGCCGAACACUCCUCGAGGCAGAGUGUGCGAGCGAGAGAGAAUGCAAGAAGGCCAGAAUAAACACAGUAGCUGGGGCUAGCCCAAGCAAAAAAAAUGUUCUGGCUAUUAUUAUGAUCCAAUCUGAACCUAAUUCGGGGAUCGUUUCACGUGUCUUCAAAAUUGUGGAUCUAACAGAUCGUUCUUGGUGCUUGUAACAAACUUUAUUCAGUGUGAUAUCAGAUCAGUCUGCAAACGGAAAGGUUGCCUUCUGUGCGUUACAUCAAUCUUGUACUUUCAGUAUCAAUAUCCGAGUCGAGACAGCUGUGUCUGUCUGUUCGUUCGUCUGUCCGUUCUCAAAAACUAUAAGAGCCACAGUCCCAAAUGUUUGUGUUAAGACUCUUGUGAUAUCUGAAUCACUGAAUCAUUGAUCCUUGAUCCUUGUCCUUGAUUGCAUUCUCGGCGCAUAGGAUACACCUUGAAGACUAUUUUUGCCUCAUGCAUGGAGAUUGGGAUUCCCAAUUGGGUUAUUUAAUUGGAAAACUGUUCCGAUCGGAUAAUUAUUACAGUCAGAUUGCGGUAAACGAGGUCCAGGCGUGAACGACUUGUUUUCUGUCUGGAUCUCGGUAUAUCUCUAUUUUCCACGUCAUGUUAGGAUUAGCCUUUAACUGCGUUCAAACCGGCAGGCACCACCUCUAAUCCUAUGCCUUUUACUUAGUUUCCCGAUGGAUAGGUAAUACUAUUUAUAUAGACAGCAUUUAUUUAAUAAAUAUAUAUUUUUUUCUUACAUAUUUGCAGGUUAAAACUUUAAAGAGGACGUAUGACCCUAGCAAUAUAAGUCAAAAAAGUACUUUUUGCAAUGAAUGCAUCGUUCCAUUCAUUUAGAGAUUUACUAGUGGCACAUCCCCAAGAUUCCUCAAGUCCGGAAAGUUUUGCUCCCGUAGUUAUUGGUUAUAGAAAUACUGCCAACAAUAAGGAUAUUGUCGAGACCAGCUCAAAUAUUUCUUCUUCUCAUUUAUCGUUCAUGGACGAAUCUUCAAACGAUUUUAAUAAUCAUCAGUUAAUUCAUCCUAACUCUCUAAUUAAAGUGUGUGGUGGUUGUGGAGGUAAGAUAUUAAAUUAAUCAAAUAAGUUGAGCUUUAAUUUGUUCGGAUAGACACAAACUUUAACUUUGUUUCUUAAUAUCUUCUUUAAACUGGACUGUUCAUGGUAAAUCGUUUAAAUAUGGUUUCAGAUUACUUAAGCGUUUUUGUAAACAAGGUUGAAGAUAUAUCAGUUUCCAAAUAUUGUAUAGAAUAUAUUAAUACUUAUAAUAAUAAUUCUUUUAACAAGCUAUAAAAUAAUUAUUUUAUAAUAACACUGCGUAGUGACUUAGUACGAGGCGAAAACUAUUCUGUGAAUCCACUCCAUUGGCGAGUUAACGUUCGCGGUUAACACUAUUUAUAUAAUUUGCAACAACUUUUGCAAUUCGUUUGAAAUUGGCAUAAUUGAGCCCAUUUUAAUUUAAUAAUUGCAUUUUUUGCAUUUGCCGCUGUGUUGUAAACUAUUUUUUUUGCUCCGUACAUUCUAUUGAACAUACGAAUGGUCCUUAUCUGUGCCUUUUAGAAGACUGUUCAAUAGUUCUGGUGCACAGUGGUUGGGCUUGUACAAAUCUAGUGGCAAACAAAACUUCCAGGAGAUAUAACAUUACAAUUAUCUUUUGAGAAGGAAUAACGUUGAUGAUAUUUUUGUAAAUUAAUAAGAAAAACAAAUAAAGGCAAAUAUAGAUUUGAUUGAUUUUAUUGUUUUUUUCUAAAAAGUUAUAUACAGUAUUAAAAAGGGUUUUCUUUUUUGUAGAUGAUCAUUUUAUUUGAGCAGCAAUAAAAGGAAUCUUAGCUUAGGAGAAAUCUGUUUAUCAAAUAGCUAUUUGUAAUAAUACCUGACACCUUGAGCUGCCUUCUGAAAAUUUUAAUGACUGCAGCUUCUUAGGACAACCCUCCUUCUGCAAUGUAUAAUUGAUUAUACUCAUAAACUAAAACUUUGUGAACUGAAUGGUGUCAAGUGCAUACUUUCCAAAUUUGUCCACAUUAUGUUAUAAUGCAUUAUAGGCGCAGCAAUAUUGAGCUCCUGAUUAUAAUAUUUUCAUUCAGACCUUGCAGUAUUGCCGUAAUUUGAAGUGCCACUUCCUCCUCUUCUAGGAACGAAAAUCUGUGAUUUCCACAAUUUUGAAAAUCGCAUAAUGGGCAUAUCUAUGUAUCAGAUCAAUGAAUUAAAGUAUAAUUGGAUAAUUUGUAUGCCAUAAUUAAGAAAUUCAAUUACAGUGACUACAACCAAUUUGUCCAGCAUUUCGUUGUAUGCUUGUUUGUUCUUUCUCAUUCUCUUUCUCAUUUCUCUCUGCCUCGUGCAGUGUGCGGCCUUGGUGUAGGUGGGAGAUGUAGAUUACAGAAGUAUACAAAAUGUAAAAUAUAAAAUUCGAAUCGCCCAAGUAUCGAUGGUUUUCCUGUUUCCUUUUAAAAACGGAAAAUGCUAAGAAAUAUAUAUUUUAGGUCCUCCGCAAUACAAAUAGAGCUGCGCUCGUAGCUAAUUAUGUCUAUAAAACUCUAUAUGUGUAAAAAUAUUCCAAUUAUUUAAUAAGAUAUCACACAAUUAUACUAAUGCUUGGUUUUUUAUUUUUUAUUUAUAGAUAAAAUAAGUGAUAGAUAUCUUUUAUAUGCGUUAGACAGAUAUUGGCACAAUGGUUGCCUGAAAUGUCAUUGUUGUGGAGCCAUGUUAGCCGAGGUCGGUUCCAGCUGUUUUACUCGAAGAGGUUUGAUACUCUGUAAAAAAGACUAUUCCAGGUAACACAAUCAUUAACGUAACAAAAUAAAACAUAUUUUCUUAUUUUUGUAACAGGUAUUCUUCUUUUUUUUGCGGAUUAAGUGAAAGGCUUAUCAGCGUGUAGAGAAAUAUUUGAAAAUGUACACAAGCGAUUAUUUGUUGUGGGACGAAUUGCGAGCGCAACAGACUUGGAAUGGAGAAGUACUUAGAAAGAAAAUUGUAUAUCUGUUAUCUAUCGUCUUAUACAGAAUCGGACAGUGAAGGAUAAAUAUGUGUGUUUCAUCCACAAUUUAAAGAAAAAACCUAGGACGCAGAAUCAUACAGAAUUAUGCUAUCUACCAGAUUGCCAAGUCUGUUUAAGAAUAUUAUUAUAAAAAUUAAGAACAAAUUAAUUUGCAGUGGCUGCGGCACAACAUUCCACUUGGUACUCACUUUCCCUCUCUGUGUCAAACUUGGGCUAAUCGAAUUGUGCCCGCGACUAUACGUUGUGCUGCCUUUUCUGCAGUCAGUUGAUCGUGGAUAUCCAGAGUGUCGAUUUCCCGUAAGGUUUCGAGACCUUUGAAAGGUUGGCCUUAGCGCCCGUGAUCAGAGCAUUAGUAUUAGAUUCGCUUUUUUAUAGCAGCUUCAAGUAGCAACAAGCAUCUAGCUGCAAAGUGACAAUCUUCUGCAAUCAUUGGAAAACAAUUGCAAUUACCGAUAGUACUCUGAAAUUACAACUACUACAACAUCUUAAAUUAUAUAUAUAUAUAUAUAUAUAAAUAUAUAAAUGUUAUUUAUUUUUACAGUAUGUUCGGAUGCUCUGGAGUAUGUUCCGGAUGUGGCGAAACUAUUCCCCCAAGUGAAUUGGUGGCAAAGGCUCUUACUGGAAUAAAUAAUAUUGACAUACAAAGUCAACCAAAACAAAUAAUUAACUGUGUAUUUCAUCUAAGGUGCUUUAGUUGUGCUAAGUGUGGAUCAAGUCUACGUCCUGGGGAUAGGUAUGCUCCUCACAGUUCAUUAUUUCUGCUAUAAAAAUAUCUUAAUAUUGAAAAUGAAUAAUAUUUGAUAAUACAAUUUACUUUUGUAUUACUUUUUUUAGGUACACUAUGCUAGGAGCAAGCUUGGUGUGUGAACAGGAUUGGCAUAAAUUGCUCAAAAGCCCAGCAAAUCCGAAUGGUACGCUUGCACAAAGAAAAGGAAAAGUUGGAAGACCCAGAAGAGCCAAGGAUUAAUAAUAUUAAAUUUCUUGUAUCAAAUAAACUUUUAUUUUAGAAAACAGUUAAUUUUAUAGAUUAUCUUUAAAAAUUCAAUUAAAUCAAAAUGUAAUAAUCCAAGUUCCCUUAUCCCACUCCUUAUAUGGAAAUAUAUAUAAUUAUUUUUGUAUGCAGCUCUAGAAUUUUAGGGUUAACUAAAUUGCCG
rnacentral:lncRNA from 1 species